rnacentral:rRNA from 1 species
AGUGAACGCUGGCGGCAGGCCUAACACAUGCAAGUCGAGCGGCAGCGCGUCCGACCACCCUCGGGUGGUCGGAUGGCGGCGAGCGGCGGACGGGUGAGGAAUGCAUCGGAAUCUGCCUCGUUGUGGGGGAUAACGUAGGGAAACUUACGCUAAUACCGCAUACGACCUACGGGUGAAAGUGGGGGACCUUCGGGCCUCACGCGAUGAGAUGAGCCGAUGCCGGAUUAGCUAGUUGGCGGGGUAAAGGCCCACCAAGGCGACGAUCCGUAGCUGGUCUGAGAGGAUGAUCAGCCACACUGGAACUGAGACACGGUCCAGACUCCUACGGGAGGCAGCAGUGGGGAAUUUUGGACAAUGGGCGCAAGCCUGAUCCAGCCAUGCCGCGUGCGGGACGAAGGCCUCGGUUGUAACCGACUUCUAGCCGGAACGAAAUACGCCAACGGCGUAAUAAUCCUUCGGUGGAGUGACGGUACCGGAA